GUUCUUAUAGUUGAAUUACAACGGUGGUUUUUCGUAUCAUUAGUCUUGGUUAAAAUCCGAGUAAGAAUU
rnacentral:tRNA from 1 species